rnacentral:rRNA from 1 species
GACGAACGCUGGCGGCGUGCUUAACACAUGCAAGUCGAACGAAGAGCGACGGAAGCUUGCUUCUAUCAAUCUUAGUGGCGAACGGGUGAGUAACGCGUAAUCAACCUGCCCUUCAGAGGGGGACAACAGUUGGAAACGACUGCUAAUACCGCAUACGAUCUAACCUCGGCAUCGAGGAUAGAUGAAAGGUGGCCCCUACAUGUAAGCUAUCACUGAAGGAGGGGAUUGCGUCUGAUUAGCUAGUUGGAGGGGUAACGGCCCACCAAGGCGAUGAUCAGUAGCCGGUCUGAGAGGAUGAACGGCCACAUUGGGACUGAGACACGGCCCAGACUCCUACGGGAGGCAGCAGUGGGGAAUCUUCCGCAAUAGACGAAAGUCUGACGGAGCAACGCCGCGUGAGUGAUGACGGCCUUCGGGUUGUAAAGCUCUGUUAAUCGGGACGAAAGGCCUUCUUGCGAAUAGUGAGAAGGAUUGACGGUACCGGAAUAGAAAGCCACGGCUAACUACGUG